rnacentral:rRNA from 1 species
AGCUCCAAUAGCGUAUAUUAAAGUUGUUGCGGUUAAAAAGCUCGUAGUUGGAUUUCUGUCGAGGAGCGCCGGUCCACACUUUGUGUGAGUAUCUGGUUGCGCCUUGGCAUCCUCAUGGGGAACGUUUCUGCGCUUGAUUGCGUGGAGCGGUAUUCAUGACUUUUACUUUGAGGAAAUUAGAGUGUUCACGGCAGGCAAACGCCUUGAAUACAUUAGCAUGGAAUAAUAAUAUAGGACUUUAGCCCUAUUUUGUUGGUUUCUAGAGCUAGAGUAAUGAUUAAUAGGGAUAAUUGGGGGCAUUCGUAUUAACGCGUCAGAGGUGGAAUUCUUGGAUUGCGUUACGACGAACUACUGCGAAAGCAUUUGCCAAGGAUGUUUUCA